UACGGGGGGGGGCAAGCGUUGUUCGGAACUACUGGGCGUAAAGGGCUCGUAGGCGGCCAACUAAGUCGGAUGUGAAAUCCCCAAGCUUAACUUGGGAACUGCAUCCGAUACUGGAUGGCUUGAAUCCGGGAGAGGGAUGCAGAAUUCCAGGUGUAGCGGUGAAAUGCGUAGAUAUCUGGAGGAAUACCGGUGGCGAAGGCGGCAUCCUGGACCGGCAUUGACGCUGAGGAGCGAAAGCGUGGGGAGCAAACAGG
rnacentral:rRNA from 1 species